UGUAGGUGGAAGCAGCGGUGGAGGAGGAGGAUGAGGUAGCCAACACUGUUUUUUAUGUUUUUUUUAUUUUUUAAUUGUGGUAGCCCACAAAAUAUUGGGACAUAUAAAAAAGACAAAUCUGUUCCGCAGAGUAGCUGUUGACAUUAUAGUUGUGCAGGCACUUUGUUGACUCUAGAGAACCUCGAGCCAAUCGCACAUCCCCGUGACGGCGACUUUGCAUUUGGAUGUCAUCCAUAUCAACUUUCGAUGCCAGUUUCUGUGCCUACCAUGGUGACCACAGGUAAUGGGGAAUCAGGGUUCCAUUCCGUACAGGGACCCUGAGAAACGGCUACCACAUGCAAGGAAGGCAGCA